GACGAACGCUGGCGGCGUGCUUAACACAUGCAAGUCGAACGGAAAGGCCCUGCUUUUGUUGCGUGCUCGAGUGGCGAACGGGUGAGUAACACGUGAGUAACCUGCCCUUGACUUUGUGAUAACUUCAGGAAACUGGGGCGAAUACCGGAUAUGAGCUCCUGCUGCAUGUUGGUGGUUGGAAAGUUUCGGCGGUUGGGGAUGGACUCGCGGCUUAUCAGCUGGUUGGUGGGGUAGUGGCUUACCAAGGCUUUGACGGAUAGCCGGCCUGAGAGGGUUACCGGCGACAUUGGGACUGAGAUACGGCCCAGACUCGUACGGGAGGCAGUAGUGGGGAAUAUUGCACAAUGGGCGGAAGCCUGAUGCAGCAACGCCGGGUGCGGGAUGACGGCCUUCGGGUUGUAAACCGCUUUGGACUGUGACGAAGCGUGAGUGACGGUAAUGGGUAAAGAAGCCCCGGCUAACUACGUG
rnacentral:rRNA from 1 species